rnacentral:rRNA from 1 species
CCUACGGGGGGCAGCAGUAGGGAAUAUUGCUCAAUGGGGGAAACCCUGAAGCAGCAACGCCGCGUGGGUGAUGAAGGUCUUCGGAUUGUAAACUCCUUUUGUUAGAGAAGAUAAUGUCUGUUUCUAAAUAAUAAUCACCGUCUAACUCCUUGCCAGCAGCCGCGGUAAAACGGAGGGUGCAAACGUUACUCAGAAUAAAUGGGCCGAAAGUGAGCGUAGGCGGGAAAGCAAAUCAGAUGUGAAAACUCAUGGCUUAACCAUAGAACUGCAUUUGAAACUGUUAUUCGAGAGUGUGGGAGAGGUAGGUGGAAUUCUUGGUGUAGGGGUAAAAUGCGUAGAGAUAAAGAGGAAGACUCAUUGCGAAGGCG